AUUGAACGCUGGCGGCAGGCCUAACACAUGCAAGUCGAACGGUAACAGGAAGACGCUUGCUUCUUUGCUGACGAGUGGCGGACGGGUGAGUAAUGUCUGGGAAACUGCCUGAUGGAGGGGGAUAACUACUGGAAACGGUAGCUAAUACCGCAUAACGUCGCAAGACCAAAAAGGGGGACCUUCGGGCCUCUUGCCAUCGGAUGUGCCCCGAUGGGAUUAGCUAGUAGGUGGGGUAACGGCUCACCUAGGCGACGAUCCCUAGCUGGUCUGAGAGGAUGACCAGCCGCACUGGAACUGAGACACGGUCCAGACUCCUACGGGAGGCAGCAGUGGGGAAUAUUGCACAAUGGGCGCAAGCCUGAUGCAGCCAUGCCGCGUGUAUGAAGAAGGCCUUCGGGUUGUAAAGUACUUUCAGCGGGGAGGAAGGGAGUAAAGUUAAUACCUUUGCUCAUUGACGUUACCCGCAGAAGAAGCACCGGCUAACUCCGUG
rnacentral:rRNA from 1 species